rnacentral:rRNA from 1 species
AUUGAACGCUGGCGGCAUGCUUUACACAUGCAAGUCGAACGGUAACAGGCCGCAAGGUGCUGACGAGUGGCGAACGGGUGAGUAAUGCAUCGGAACGUGCCCAGUCGUGGGGGAUAACGCAGCGAAAGCUGCGCUAAUACCGCAUACGAUCUAUGGAUGAAAGCGGGGGACCGUAAGGCCUCGCGCGAUUGGAGCGGCCGAUGUCAGAUUAGGUAGUUGGUGGGGUAAAGGCUCACCAAGCCAACGAUCUGUAGCUGGUCUGAGAGGACGACCAGCCACACUGGGACUGAGACACGGCCCAGACUCCUACGGGAGGCAGCAGUGGGGAAUUUUGGACAAUGGGCGCAAGCCUGAUCCAGCAAUGCCGCGUGCAGGAAGAAGGCCUUCGGGUUGCAAACUGCUUUUGUACGGAACGAAACGGUCUGGGUUAAUACCUCGGGCUAAUGACGGUACCGUAAGAAUAAGCACCGGCUAACUACGUGCCAGCAGCCGCGGUAACAC